rnacentral:lncRNA from 1 species
UCAGCCUGAAUCCCUGGUAUGCAAAUCAAUUAAAAUUCUUUGGCCACUGUAAAAGUUCAUUCUGGAGUCAUUAAUUUGGUCUGUUGUGGAUCUAAGUAGCCAAAGUAGACUGAACAUUUAGUACAGCCUGAAAUCCACUCCUUAAUGAUAGCUUAUGGUAGCAUCCAUCCAAAUCGAAGAUUCCAUGCAUAUAGAAAUGAUCUUCUUAAAACAUGUCCAUUAUCAUGCAACAUAUGAACCUGGCAAAACAAUACACCGUAAACUGCAAAAUCACUGACAGGUAGCUAGCAUUAUUUCAGAUGAUAUAUUCCAAUUCUCUAUCGACACCUACAUUAUUGACAAAAGCAUCUCGAUAUCUUAUGGAUUAAUAUUUCCAAUAAUUCUAUUCUCCUUACGUGACGCUAUGCUGGUUACACCACCCUUUCAUCUACUUGCAUGGUUGCACCACUAUCCUUAACCUCUCAACAGAGCUAUAUAUACCCUCCCUCCAUCCAUAAGACUACACACUUCCACAGCUCAACCAAAGCAUACAUCAGCUAGACCAGUGUUAUUGAUCUCUUCUGUGAAACCCUUAGAGCAAUUUCUUAAAAGAGACCGCAAGUUAGAGAAUGAAUGGAAAGAAGGGUAGUAUAAGGAUUGACAUUUGCCUGAAACCAAAAGAUGUGGUGCCAGAAGAUGCAAAGAAGCCAAUCAGUGAAGAAGGGCUUUCCCCAAGGAAAUGGCUACAUGAUGUCUGGGACUUCGCCAGACAGGAUACAAACAGGGUCACCUUUGCACUCAAGGUUGGCCUUGCUUGCCUCCUUGUGUCACUGCUCAUACUCUUCCGUGCACCCUAUGACAUCUUUGGGGCUAACAUCAUCUGGUCCAUCCUCACUGUUGCUAUAAUGUUCGAGUACACUGUUGGUACGUAUCAUUUCUAUGCAUGAAUAGCUAUUUAAGUCUGCUGAUUGUAACAUUAUGAACAUGUGGAUAUCCUAUAUUUCCAUAUGAACAUUAUUGAAGUAUGAGAAAAUAUUUAUGAUUGAAAAGUAUUGAUAAUGUUAUCCAUUUGCAGGUGCAACAUUCAAUCGCGGAUUCAAUCGAGCCGUCGGAAGUGUAUUUGCUGGAGUAUUUGCAGUAGUUGUUAUUCAGGUGGCUAUGUCUAGUGGCCAUAUUGCAGAACCAUACAUCAUUGGUUUCAGCAUAUUUCUCAUUGGUAUGCCUUAAAACUGACCAGUAUUCUACAUAUAGGCAAUCCAUGAUUUCACCCAUUUGUAUUAACAAGAUAAACAAGCUAGAGUUCUUUGCAUUAACUCAGUAUUUCUUAAAUAUUCUUAAUGUGAAAUAUGAUUGAUAUGUAGGUGCUGUAACAUCAUUUAUGAAGCUAUGGCCAUCACUAGUUCCAUAUGAAUAUGGUUUUCGAGUUAUCCUAUUCACAUAUUGCUUGAUCAUCGUAUCGGGCUACCGCAUGGGAAAUCCCAUCAGGACUGCAAUGGACAGACUCUACUCAAUUGCGAUCGGAGCCCUCAUAGCCGUUUUAGUAAAUGUCUUUAUCUGCCCAAUAUGGGCAGGGGAGCAACUGCACAGGGAGCUAGUUAACAGCUUCAACUCUCUCGCAGACUCCUUAGAAGGUAUUUUUCUCAGCAUCCUAGUCUUUGUGGUGAUUUCUUGUCGAUCACUGUUGAGAACAAUAAUAUAAUUCUUUUUCUAUCACAGAGUGUGUCAAGAAGUAUCUAAGUGAUGAUGGUUCCGAACAUCCAGAGUUCUCAAAGACAGUCAUGGAUAACUUCCCUGAUGAACCAGCAUUCAGGAAGUGCCGAGCUACGUUAAAUUCGUCAGCGAAGUUUGACUCUCUGGUAAAUUCUGAAUUUCAUAUGAUCAUUCUGCACUAUAAAUUUAUAAUCAACAACUUAACAGCUAAUAUUUUGCCAUUGAUAUGAUGAUUAAUUUUCUAGGCGAACUCUGCUAAAUGGGAACCACCACAUGGGAGAUUCAAGCACUUCUUUUACCCAUGGGCAGAGUAUGUGAAAGUUGGCAAUGUUCUUCGCCACUGUGCCUACGAGGUGAUGGCUUUGCAUGGUUGCGUGCACUCAGAGAUUCAGGUAUCAUCACACUUAUUCUGCCUGCAUCUUAUGUUCUUGUGCUAGACUUUACAUUCUGAUCCUUCACUGCCUAUCUACAGCUCCAUAUCUAAAUUCGUUAUUUCAAAUAAAUAAUUUUCAGACACAGUUUUUGAUGCAAACAUAAUAGAAUAGGAUAUAAGAAUUAUAUAACAAGGCAAGAUACUUAGAUGCAAUGGUGAAUUAUCUUAGAUGAUCCUAGGUAAGAAGUGGCACCAUGUGCUUACUUCAUGUGAUAAUAGAAUUUGGUGCCCUCAUUGAUACCUUUACAUGCAACCUAUUACCUCUUUGUCCUAGUAGCGGAAAACACUAUAUUCUCAUUCUAUGAUGCAAUACAAUACAAAAUACUCAAAAAGGCGAUUAUUAUGUUUCAUCCGAGGACCAGCAAAGAACAUACCUAACAUGUGAGGGAUGUUGUGAUUUCUUGAAGGACGUCUAGUUAGUAAAUAAUAAGCAGUCAACACACCAUCACCAUAGUUCAUAUCUUCUGGGGAUCAAACUUGUUAGCCUCCUUGACCCAAGUUUAACAUUCUUGAGAGUACAAUUUAACCAUGGAAGGGGUUAUUUCACCAUGCAAAAGACCUGAGGACAAGGAUAACAGGUGAUCAAAUCAAACACUGAAUACUUUGGCUGGUAAAACUAACAUGGCAAGUAUUUGAGAUUGGAAACUUGAGCCUUGAGGAUUAUGACCUACAAAAUUUUUAAGAAGAGCAGGGAAACACAAAGAAAAGAAAAGAAAAGGCCAUGUGCUGUAAGAUGGCAAGCCAAUUAAGAAUUGACACCGAUGUUAUGAGCAAAAACUUAACAAGAUUCAACUUGUUUUAGAAAAAGUAAAGCAGAAAUGAAAUUGUUGAAAAGUGCACACUUCCACAUGAUGUCCUGAGUUCCACUAACUUUGCAUUUGCAUACUUUCUGGUGUGUGCUUAGUAUCAUCAAAGCAAUGAUAAAUAGUAUAGUCAUGAUGCUCUUAACCUUAUUUUGCAUAUAACACUAGUACUUGCAUUAUUGCAGGCCCCAUACAACCUAAGGUGUGCCUUCAAGUCCGAGAUCUUAGAUGCCACAAAGCAAGCAGCGGAGCUGUUGCGCGGUUUGGCAAAAGAUUUAAACAACAUGAAGUGGAGCCUCCAAACUAGCUUACUUAAGCAUGUUCAUGUCUCGACCGAGCGUCUGCAACAUUCAAUUGACUUGCACUCCUACCUGUUCACCGCAAGUCAGGAAGACAACUAUGCCAAACCACAAUUGAAAAUCUCAAGGGUUGUGUCUUUCAAGAACCAGUCCGGUGAACCAGAAAGCAAGACAACUGAAACCAGAACACCAAUGGCGAUGGAAGUUGAAUCCUACCAUGAGAUGAUGAAAAGGCAGCAGAGGAAGCUGCAUUCAUGGCCUUCCAGGGAGGUGGAUGAUUUUGAAGAUGACGAAAAUGUUGUUUCUGAUCUCAUUCCAAGGAUGCGUGCACUUGAAAGCACCACAGCGCUGUCACUUGCAACUUUCACAUCACUACUGAUUGAAUUUGUUGCUAGGCUUGAUCAUUUGGUUGAGGCUGCUGAGAGGCUUGCUACGAUGGCAAGGUUCAAGCAGCAGAUUGCAAACUAACCAUUCAAUGGCACUAACAGAUUAAAUACUAGCAUAGUUACAGGAUACAGAACUAAGUGCAUACUAUCUACCCAAAGCAUCAAGUGAUGUAACAUUGUUGUUUGCUCUUUCUUGUACUAGAAAGGGGGAAAGUGUGUUUACAUACUGGUAUUUGCCAGUGGAGAUAUAAAAUGUAAUAGAAAUUAUACAUGUUAACCUAAUCCUGUGUGAUCUGUCUAGCAAGGGGUGUAAUUCCCAUACAUGACCAAUCUUUUUAGAACAAUCACACUAGUUUAGUUCUCUGGAGUCACUAAUGGCAUAGUGAUGGUGGCAUGGUGGUGAUUAGCAUUGUGCAUCCAACGAUCAAAGUGUCCAUAUGAUUUUUUCUCGAAAAGUUUGGUUCAGUUAAUAUCAUUCAGGAGCAUCUAUGUACAAAUUGGCUUAUUGAGCUGACUCACAAGUCAUAACCAAGUGCAAUUUUCAGUGAACUAUACACUGAACUGAACACCCUGACGCACUAUCAGUCUAUAUCAUGGAGUGAUGGAAGGCAAGGCAUAUGCUCAAAUAUAUAUUCCGUGUGCAAUCCUACCAUGACGAGGAGGGCAUUCGAUCCAACUUCCAAGACAGACCAGGUUAGCUAAACCCUUCACAUCGAAGAAACCAAAACAAACUCCUCUCAAAAAAGAAACCAAAACAAACACAACAUGCGCAGACGCAAAGAAUAACGCCAAGUCUCCACUACGUGUGACAUCCAAUCUAGACAGUCAAAAUGCCGAAAAUCUAGAACAAGAACAACUAGAGAACCCUCACGGGCAUAACGCCGAGCACCUGGUUCGCGCUCCACCACGAUGGCGGCGGAAGGAGAGCAGGAGACCUCCGAUCCCCCUCCCCCCGAGGAAACCCCACCCCCAACCACCC